rnacentral:lncRNA from 1 species
GGGCAGAGACGCUCCUCACUUCCUAGACGGGAUGGCGGCCGGGAAGAGGCGCUCCUCACUUUCCAGACUGGGCAGCCAGGCAGAGGGGCUCCUCACGUCCCAGACGAUGGGCGGCCAGGCAGAGAUGCUCCUCACUUCCUAGACGGGGUGGUGGCCGGGCAGAGGCUGCAAUCUCGGCACUUUGGGAGGCCAAGGCAGGCGGCUGGGAGGUGGAGGUUGUAGCGAGCCGAGAUCACGCCACUGCAUUCAGCCUGGGCACCAUUGAGCACUGAGUGAACCAGACUCCGUCUGCAAUCCCGGCACCUCGCGAGGCCGAGGCUGGCGGAUCACUCGCGGUUAGGAGCUGGAGACCAGCCCGGCCAACACAGCGAAACCCCGUCUCCACCAAAAAAGUAAGAAAACCAGUCAGGCGUGGCAGCGCGCGCCUGCAAUCGCAGGCACUCGGCAGGCUGAGGCAGUAGAAUCAGGCAGGGAGGUUGCAGUGAGCCGAGAUGGCAGCAGUACAGUCCAGCUUCGGCUGGGCAUCAGAGGGAGACCGUGGAAAGAGAGGAAGAGGGAGACCGUGGGCCGUGGUGAGAGUGAGAGGGAGAGGGAGAGCUCUUUUUAGCUUUUAUAGCUUUUGUUGUGUCUAAGGAAUCUUUGCCUAACCCGAGUUCACAAAGAUUUUCUUGUAUGUUUUUUUCUGGAAUUUCUGUAGUUUUUAGAUUUACAUGUAGAUCUAAUAUUUUAAUACAUGGUAUGAGAUAUUAAGGAUCCAAGUUCAGUUUUUUGCAUAUGAAUAUCCAGCUGUUUUAGUACCAGUUGUUGAAAGGACUAUCAUUCCUCUACCGGAUUGUCCUUGUACCUUUGUCAAAAAUCAGUUGUUUAUAUAUCUGUGGGUCUGUUUCUGGACUCUGUUCCAUUGAUAUGUUUACCUUAUCUUUAUGCCUGUACCACACUGUUUUACUAUAACUUGAAGUGAGGCAGUUUUAGUCCUCUAGCUAUAUUCGUUUUCAAAGUUGUUUUAGGUAAUCUAGGUUCUUUGCAUUUCCAAAUAAAUUCUAGAAUUAGCUUCUCAAUUUCUUAAAAAAAAAAAAAAGCACGUUGGGAUUUUGAUUGGGACUACAUUGAAUCUGUUUGGGGGAAGAGCUGACGUCUUAACAGUUUAGGAGAGAUACAAAUUAACAAAUUAAAUUAGUGAUUUUAUUUUAAUUAAUGUUUCUCAGUAGUAUUUUUGUGUUUUUCCUGUACAGGUUUUAUGUCUUUUGUCAAAUUUUUCUCUUAAUAUUUCACAAUUUUUGAUACUGUUUUAAUUUUUUCAGAAUUUCAGUAUUUGGUCAUUGCUACUCUAUAGACAUGAACCACCGUCCCUGGCCUCCGUUGGAUUUUCUGUACAUCAUUUGCAAAUAAGGACAAUUUUACUUCUUUCCAAUUAUCACUUGUUUUACUUAUUUACUUAUUAUCAGUAUUUUCUGUGUUGUCACUGCUUCAGAGAUUCUGUCCUUUUCAAUUUUCUUUUGUUAUCUUCUUGGUCUUAGAUAUUAUCAUAUUGUUGUUUGUUUUUUUUUUUUAAUUAGUUAAUGGCUUUCUGUGAGGUAUUCUCUCAGUCUAUGUUGUCUUCAGAAAACACUGGUUUCAUUUUGUUCAGGGCCA